rnacentral:tRNA from 2 species
GGCGGCAUAGCCAAGUGGUAAGGCAAUGGAUUGCAAAUCCAUCACCCCCGGUUCGAUUCCGGGUGCCGCCUCCA